GAUGAAGAACGCAGCGAAAUGCGAUAAGUAAUGUGAAUUGCAGAAUUCAGUGAAUCAUCGAAUCUUUGAACACACAUUGCGCCCGCCAGUAUUCUGGCGGGCAUGCCUGUUCGAGCGUCAUUACAACCCUCAGGCCCCCGGGCCUGGCGUUGGGGAUCGGCGGAAGCCCCCUGCGGGCACAACGCCGUCCCCCAAAUACAGUGGCGGUCCCGCCGCAGCUUCCAUUGCGUAGUAGCUAACACCUCGCAACUGGAGAGCGGCGCGGCCACGCCGUAAAACACCCAACUUCUGAAUGUUGACCUCGAAUCAGGUAGGAAUACCCGCUGAACUUAAGCAUAUCAAUAAGCGGAGGA
rnacentral:misc_RNA from 1 species